rnacentral:rRNA from 1 species
UACGAAGGGGGCUAGCGUUGCUCGGAAUUACUGGGCGUAAAGGGCGCGUAGGCGGAUAGUUUAGUCAGAGGUAAAAGCCCAGGGCUCAACCUUGGAACUGCCUUUGAUACUGGCUAUCUUGAGUACGGGAGAGGUGUGUGGAACUCCGAGUGUAGAGGUGAAAUUCGUAGAUAUUCGGAAGAACACCAGUGGCGAAGGCGAACACACUGGCCCGUUACUGACGCUGAGGCGCGAAAGCGUGGGGAGCAAACAGGGAUUAAGAA